GGAAGGAUCAUUAACACAUUGUCCAUUUGAUGAUGGGAGAUGUUUCUGUGAGGAUGUGUUCUUUCACAUUUCUUUGAACACUCUCAUCAUUCAAACCAUUUAGCGAAUGAGUUGAAGUCCUCAUUAUUAAUUAACUUUAAUAAUUUGUGUGGAAUAAGACUAUGUAAUCACGUUUAAUGAGUUCUUUUUUUUAGAACUCAUUCGACUAAUGUUUACUCAAAAAAAAACAAAAUAUAACCAAGACAACUUGUAACAGUGGAUACCUUGGUUCCCAGGUCGAUGAAGAGCGCAGCUAACUGCGAUAAGUCAUGUGAAUUGCAGAAUUCCGUGAAUCAUCGAACUCUUGAACGCAAAUUGCACUUGGGUGUUGAAUCCAAGUGUGUCUGCUCGAGUGUCGGCAAUAAAUCCUCACUUUAACAACACUAGUUGUUAAGUUGAAAAUGAGAGUUCAUUUUUGAUUGAUCUCUUUAAAUGAAUGGAAAUAUGAUUCGUUAAAUAUGGAACAUUGUUUAAAAUGUUCUCUUUGAAUGUACGAAACAUAUAGGUUAGUAAAUUAAGAUCUUUAUUGAUCUCAACUUUAUUAAUCCUAUUCGUAUUUAUUUCAAUUGAACAACAUGUUUAUUUUCAAACAUAUUGGAAUCAUUAUUGACUUGUCAUAGAUAUCUCUACAAUAUCGACGACAAUUCUUUUAAACUCUCGACCUCGAAUUAGGCAAGAUCACCCGGUGGACUUAAGCAUAUUAUUAACCGGAGGAAAAGAAACUAACAAGGAUGUCCUCAGUAACGGCGAGUGAAGCGGACAGAGCUCAAAUUUAAAAUCUGGGAGUCUUAUGAUUCCCCGAAUUGUAGUUUUUGGAUUGUUAGUCACGGUGACAUUGAUUCGGGAGUAAGUUCUUUGGAACAAGGCGUCAGAGAGGGUGAGAACCCCGUAUGCGUCCCAGUCAGUGUUACAAUACGUGUCUAGCUUUUCACGAGUCGGGUUGUUUGGGAUUGCAGCCCUAAAUAGGUGGUAGAUCUCAUCUAAAGCUAAAUAUUCCUGGGAGACCGAUAGCGAAGAAGUAGUGUGAACGAAAGGUGAAAAGAACUUUGAAAAGAAGGUGAAAAGUACUUGAAGCUGUUCCAAGGGAACCGUAUGAAAGCAGUGACUGCUUGGCGACAAUUCAGCGAGCGUGGUUAUUACGUGUCGGACACACGAAGGUGUUAUGCCUCGGAGUGCUGAGCGUGAGUCAUCAGGCGCGUGUACUUUGUUGUUUGAGCGAGUCAACAUCAGUUUGGUUGGUGACGGAGAAAGGCGAGGAGAAGGUAGGUUGGCACUUCGGUGUUGGCUGUUAUAGCUCCUUGUUGCAUACGUCGCCCUGGACUGAGGAAGCAAAACGCAUGCCUCGGCGAGGUAACUGGCGGACCCAUGACGGUGUGAGUGUACGUCUGCCUGCAGGGUGCGCUCACGACUGGCGUGGUGAAGUUGGUCCAUCGGUGCGUUAGGGAUGUUGACGAAAUGCUUUCAUAUGACCCGUCUUGAAACACGGACCAAGGAGUCUAACAUGUAUGCGAGUAUUUGGGUGGCAAACCCGAGUGCACAAUGAAAGUGAAUGAUGCGAGUUCGUAAGGAUGCAGCAUCGGCCGACUGCACUUAGGUGCGGAUCGCGUCGGAGCACACAUGAUGGGACCCGAAAGAUGGUGAACUUUGCGUGCGCAGGGUGAAGCCAGAGGAAACUCUGGUGGAGGCUCGUAGAGGUUCUGACGUGCAAAUCGAUCUUCAGACGUGCGUAAAGGGGCGAAAGACUAAUCGAACCAUCUAGUAGCUGGUUUACAC
rnacentral:misc_RNA from 1 species